rnacentral:lncRNA from 1 species
GAUGAACACACCCUUUGACCGAACCCUAGAUUGUCCCAAAUGGAAAAGUCAUGAAUACAAAGUUUGCUACACUCAUGAAGUUCUACAUUUUGUCUAAUGGUCAACUUUUCAUUUGGAAAAGUUUGAACCACUGAAUUUUGAAUUUUCAUAGAACUCAUAGCCACGCAGCGGUUUCGGAUCCCUAGAUGGUCUCAAAUGAAAAAGUCAUAAAUAUCAAUAUUGUUCCACUCAUCAAAAUCUACAUUUCAUAUAUAGACCAUUUUUGCAUUUGACAAAGUUUUGGGAAGGUGUAGUUGAAAAUCCACAAUUGACACAUAUAGUUUCAUAUAGUUUGUGUGAGAUUCAAGAAUUGGUGGGUAUUGUUAACUUAGACUUUCUCAAAUGGAAAAGUUGUGUAUAUAAAAAGUUUAGAUCUUGAAGAUAUCUAACAACUUGGUAUUCAAAAUAUUUUCAUUUGAAGUAAUUUAGUUUGUCAUUUGACCAAGUUUGACCAAGUUUGACCAAAACCCGUCUUGGAUUUUAUAGAAAUGUAAUUAGGAUUGGCUCAAAAUUAUCCAAAUGGAAAAAUGGACAAUAUAUAAAAUAUAGAUCUUGAUGAUCUCUAACAACUUUGUAUUCAAACUUUUUUCAUUUCAAGUCAUCAAAUGGGCUAUUUGACCAAGUUUGACCAAAGUCAAAGCAUUGGUUUUUACAAACACACUCUUUGACCGAACCCUAGAUUGUCCCAAAUGGAAAAGUCAUGAAUACAAAGUUUGCUACGCUCAUCAAGUUCUACAUUUUGUCUAAUGGUCAACUUUUCAUUUGAAAAAGUUUG